rnacentral:rRNA from 1 species
AUUGAACGCUAGCGGGAUGCUUUACACAUGCAAGUCGAACGGCAGCGCGGACUUCGGUCUGGCGGCGAGUGGCGAACGGGUGAGUAAUGUAUCGGAACGUGCCCAGUAGCGGGGGAUAACUACGCGAAAGCGUAGCUAAUACCGCAUACGCCCUACGGGGGAAAGCAGGGGAUCGUAAGACCUUGCACUAUUUGAGCGGCCGAUAUCGGAUUAGCUAGUUGGUGAGGUAACGGCUCACCAAGGCGACGAUCCGUAGCUGGUUUGAGAGGACGACCAGCCACACUGGGACUGAGACACGGCCCAGACUCCUACGGGAGGCAGCAGUGGGGAAUUUUGGACAAUGGGGGCAACCCUGAUCCAGCCAUCCCGCGUGUGCGAUGAAGGCCUUCGGGUUGUAAAGCACUUUUGGCAGGAAAGAAACGUCGCGGGCUAAUACCCAGUGGAACUGACGGUACCUGCAGAAUAAGCACCGGCUAACUACGUG